rnacentral:rRNA from 1 species
GAGUUUGAUCGUGGCUCAGAGCGAACGCUGGCGGCGUGCUUAACACAUGCAAGUCGAACGCUCGUAGCAAUACGAGAGUGGCGGACGGGUGAGUAACGCGUGGGAAUCUACCUUGCGGCGGGGAAUAACCUCGGGAAACUGGGGCUAAUACCGCAUACGCCCUACGGGGAAAGGCUUCGGCCACCGUUUGAGGAGCCCGCGUCCGAUUAGCUAGUUGGUGAGGUAACGGCUCACCAAGGCGACGAUCGGUAGCUGGUCUGAGAGGAUGAUCAGCCACACUGGGACUGAGACACGGCCCAGACUCCUACGGGAGGCAGCAGUGGGGAAUAUUGGACAAUGGGGGAAACCCUGAUCCAGCGACGCCGCGUGGGUGAUGAAGGCCUUCGGUUGUAGAGCCCUUUCGUCCACGAUGAUGAUGACAGUAGUGGAAGAAGAAGCUCCGGCUAACUUCGUGCCAGCAGCCG